UUGGGUAGUUAGUUAGAUAGCAUGUAGUUAAUAUACUGGCAAGUUCGAUGUAUUAGUAGCCAAUUAACGUUAGGUAGCUAGCUAACGUACUGCUGUAAUGAUAUGCGGUUUUUAAGGACAGCGUAGCCAACAUAAAAUGUAGCGUAACUUAUUUGAAAAGUAAUUACUUUAUUACAUUGCUCAGCAUUUUCUUACAUUUGUCAUAAUUAGUUAAAGCAAUGAAAUUGUAUCCGCUCUUGCCGGACUUCGGCUGCAUUUUUACCCGACAUUUUUUUCAAAUCUGAAAACGUAGUGAAGCUACGCCCAUUUGAGGAAGAAUUGUAUUAUGGGCCCUAAAAACACUGAAAUAGGCCCACUGCUUAUAUACUUGGUAUUUUCGCGAAAGAAGUACGACACCCGAGAACUUUUGGCAUACUAACUAUAUCCUUACUAGGUGCUUGCUGAAAAGUAGAUGGUCCUGACGACUCUGUAGAGAUGUUGACACGUCAAGGGACUACUUCCCCAAGAUACCCCAAACAAGAGGCUGCUCGUGUGUCGAACAAUGGAGCCCUACCCCCUGACCUCAGCUACAUAGUCAAUGCCAGACAUGGAGGAGAGAACUACGUGUUCUCCUUACUGACAGGGUACUGUGACCCCCUGCAGGGGUCGAAGUGAGAGUGGAGCUCUACUACAAUCGUUAUUUCCCUGGCAAGGCCAUUUGCUUGGCUCCUCCCAUCUACAACAAGGUUUUAGAGUUUGAGGAUGCUACUCAUGGGGUCUGAAAUCUAGGUACCAUUGGUCUAUUACAUGAAGAGACACAGGUGCUCACUUUUUGAAGAGCUGGAAGAUAGAUAGCAUACAGACCACCAAAAUAAGACAGCUCAACUUCAUGACCCACUGGAAUUGUGAUACAGUGAAAUAAUCUGUAAACAAUUGUUGGAAAAAUGACUUGUGUC